CUUGGGGCAAGAGUGACGGGCGAUUUGUGCAUAUAUUAUUCCUAUUUAAAUUAAAAAUUUUAUUUUUUUAUUUAAUCUUAAGUCCUUCUUUCUUUUUAUUGGUUUAAAAUUCAGAUUAUUUUUAAAAUUUUGUAUCCCAUUAAACUCUAAAAUAUUAACUUUGUAUUGAUUUGUCUUUUGACUUUUAAAAGAGUUUAAAUUUUUUUAUUAAAAUAAAUUUUUAGACAAUUAUAUAAAGAUUGAUAAUAUUAGUGCUUUUUUAUCGUGGGCUGUCUAUUACGUAUCAGGAUCCCCUAUACAGAUAGUAUACCGCCAUCAAUUACAGUUUUCUUUUAAUUAAAUACUUUCAAAUGUUUAUUUAAAA
rnacentral:rRNA from 1 species